AAGUAUUUUCGUGAAAGUGAAUGUUGAGAGAUUAGAGAAGAGACAGAAACUGAGCGAAGCAACCCGAGGCUCGAAUUCCUACCAGUGCAAGGGGCCACAGCAAGAAGUUAAAAAGGAUACUUUAAUCUCUUCUCGUCGCGGAGUGAUAUACAAAGUAAUUGUUUCAAUGGCACACCUAAACCUACAGCCACAAGAAAGAACAGACUCCCCCAAAUUAUUUUCAGGUGGCAGUGAUUUA